rnacentral:rRNA from 1 species
CUACGGGACGCAGCAGUGAGGAAUAUUGCACAAUGGGGGGAACCCUGAUGCAGCAACGCCGCGUGGAGGAUGACGCAUUUCGGUGUGUAAACUCCUUUUAUAUGUCAAGGAAGUGACGGUAGCAUAUGAAUAAGCACCGGCUAACUCCGUGCCAGCAGCCGCGGUAAUACGGAGGGUGCAAGCGUUACUCGGAAUCACUGGGCGCAAAGGACGCGUAGGCGGGUUGGAAAGUCAGGUGUGAAAUCCUACAGCUUAACUGUAGAACUGCACUUGAAACUUCUAAUCUAGAGUAUGGGAGGGGGAGAUGGAAUUAGUGGUGUAGGGGUAAAAUCCGUAGAUAUCACUAGGAAUACCUAAAGCGAAGGCGAUCUCCUGGAACAUUACUGACGCUAAGGCGUGAAAGCGUGGGGAGCAAACAGGAUUAGAACCCGCGUAGUC